ACGUAGGGGGCAAGCGUUAUCCGGAUUUACUGGGUGUAAAGGGAGUGUAGACGGCGAGGCAAGUCUGAUGUGAAAGCCCGGGGCUCAACCCCGUGACUGCAUUGGAAACUGUUUUGCUUGAGUGCCGGAGAGGUAAGCGGAAUUCCUAGUGUAGCGGUGAAAUGCGUAGAUAUUAGGAGGAACACCAGUGGCGAAGGCGGCUUACUGGACGGCAACUGACGUUGAGGCUCGAAAGCGUGGGGAGCAAACAG
rnacentral:rRNA from 1 species